AGAAACAGAGCCUCCGAUUGCCCUGGUCUCUCCCAAAUAGCCGACACCAACCGUCUCGUCACCCUCCUCCGCCCAACCUCGCCGCCGGCCCUUCUCCUUCCAAUCUCCAUCUCGCAACCCCGGAGGCUACCGGAUCCGCCGCACCCCCACCCACCCAUCCCUCGCGCGUCCAAUUUCUCUCUUCACACGGUUCCUCGUUGCGCCACCGGCGGUGGCUGCUUCCGGCGACGUUCGGCCAAUCCCGCCACCGCGAAACACAUCCCGAGGUCCUCUCGCACCGUGGCGCCCUCCCAUCCACCUAGAUCGGCGCUCGCGGCCACCAAAGCCCACCUGCAACCCUCCCCCCAUGCCUAGGGUUUCGGGCGUCGGCUCCGGUGCCGUUGGCCAUGUCGUCCUCGUUUCAUCCGACGUGCAGGGAGUAACGGCCACUGGACAACCUUGCUGCUGCUCGGGACGAAGCAACCAUGUAGCUUUCUCCUUCUUCUCUGGCUUCAGAACUCGGAGGAGAAAUCAGAAUUGUCGUCAAAGUAACAACUAUGGAAGAUAAAAAGGUGCAUGGAGAAGGAUGUUAACGGAGUGACAAAGGUUGCAAAACUCACCGGAAUCAAAAUGACAACACUAGAAUAAAGAGCUCCAUGUACCAUCGAGCCUGUGUGGAUUAUUUGCAGUAGCAAGUGCCGAACGGCAGCAGCUUGCAGGGCAUGGUCUCUCCUGGGAAAGAUUCAGUGCACGCUCGCCUUUGCUAGCCCUGAACAGAUAAGCACAUUUCAAAAAAAAUUGGUUUGUUUAAGGAGUGCUCUUAUAUAAGGAUAGCUAUUGCAAAUGUAGUUCAAAUGUUAGUUGAAAAAUAUUGAAUUUGAAAACAUUACAUGUGCGAUAGCUGAAAUGAUAGUUGAAUUUGUACUCAUUUGACAAAUUAUUUUGUCGACCUUUCUUUAUUGUGGUUCCAUAGCAAAGCAUGUGCAUGAUGGUAUGAAAGGUUAAUCAUGAAGAUUGCAUACAAAAUACGUAUGCCCCUGUUGCAACGCACGGCAAUUACCUCGUAUAUUUUUAAAAGGCAUAUGCGGCUGAUUUUAUUUUAGUAAUAUAUAUGAGUCCACAUGGAUUUUUUAAUAUUUUGUGUGGUGGUCGGACUCUUCCUUAUUCCUUAUAGUUGGCACCCAUACUAUGCAAUAGCAACGUAUGAGUUUGCAUGUGAUUGUCUUGGAGAUAUCUUUUUUUAGUAGAAAAGGCAUAUAAGACUUGGAUGAAAGAUGUGCACGUGACACGCUAAACUGUUUUUACAUCAUUUUAUUUGUACGUAAUACUACAUCUUUUUAAUCUUAAUCGUUAAUAUAUAAAAUUGAUGAUCAAGAUAAUUUAAUUUGUGUGGAUGAACAUGAUUGCUUGUUUGUCUCUUGUUUAAAUAAUAUAAUAGAUGGAACUUGAUGACGCUUCACUUGUGUUGCACCUUUUUCCCUUGGUUUUGCAGUUGCAUGCACCAACUGGAUGGAAGGGGGCGCUAUGGAGCAAGUCAUAGAUGAUACCAUGGAAGAUUCAAAAGAUAUAUGGAUGAUUAUAUGGGUGUGACAAGUAUACUGCAAUGAUGUGAUGAUGAUGUUCCGGUUCAUGAUGAUGAUGAUGUUCUGGUUCAUGAUGAUGAUGAUGGAUGCUUUCAGUUUUAGUUAAGUUGUAGGGAUGUUGUUCCUAGGUUAAGUUUUUGUUAAGUUGUAGGGAUGUUGAUGAAUGCUUUUGGUUUAAGUUUCUUUGUCAAAAAUAUAUUUAGAUUAUGCAUCACAUUUGGAUGAUGUACCCCUUUCAUAUCCACUAUUGUAAUCCAACCGUUUUAUCAAUAUGUAUGUUUUCUUUC